rnacentral:rRNA from 1 species
GACGAACGCUGGCGGCGUGCCUAAUACAUGCAAGUCGAGCGAACGGAUGAGGAGCUUGCUUCUCUGAUGUUAGCGGCGAACGGGUGAGUAACACGUAUUGAAUCUACCUAUAAGCGUGGGAUAACUUUCGGAAACUGGUUCUAAUACCGCAUCAUAUUUUCUACCGCAUGGAUCAAUAUUGAAAGACGGCUCUGCUGUCACUUAUAGAUGGUGUUGAGGUGCAUUAGCUAGUUGGUGGGGUAACGGCCUACCAAGGCGAUGAUGCAUAGCCGACCUGUGAGAGUGAUCGGCCACAUUGUGCCUGAGACACGGUCCAUAGUCAUACGGGAGGCAGCAGUAGGGAACAUUACGCACUGGGCGAAAGCCUGACGGAGCGAGGGCGCGUGCGUGAACAAGGUCGUCGGAUCGUGAUACUAUGUUAUUAGGGAAGAACACAUUCCCGAGUAAAUGCCUGGAUCUCGACGGUACCUUAUCAGAAAGCCACGGCUAACUACGGG